rnacentral:rRNA from 1 species
CCUACGGGGGACAGCAGUAGGGAAUAUUGCUCAAUGGGGGAAACCCUGAAGCAGCAACGCCGCGUGGAGGAUGAAGGUUUUCGGAUUGUAAACUCCUUUUGUUAGAGAAGAUAAUGACGGUAUCUAACGAAUAAGCACCGGCUAACUCCGUGCCAGCAGCCGCGGUAAUACGGAGGGUGCAAGCGUUACUCGGAAUCACUGGGCGUAAAGAGCGCGUAGGCGGGAUAGCAAGUCAGAUGUGAAAUCCUAUGGCUUAACCAGAGAACUGCAUUUGAAACUGUUAGUCUAGAGUAUGGGAGAGGUAGGUGGAAUUCUUGGUGUAGGGGUAAAAUGCGUAGAGAUCAAGAGGAAUACUCAUUGCGAAGGCGACCUGCUAGAACAUAACUGACGCUGAUGCGCGAAAGCGUGGGGAGCAAACAGGAUUAGAUACCCCAGUAGUC